GCACUGACAACCAUAUAAACAUUUGAUGCUAUCUAGAUAGUCCGCUUGCUGACGAUUAUGUAAUAUUGGUAAAAUGCACGCUAUUUUCGCCAUGUAUAAACCUAGGCCUAAUACGCUUCAAAUGAUUAAUUCAUGUAAAUAUAUAAAUCUCGGGAAUUUGUGUAUCAAAAUUAUUUCCGAACUUCCCAGUGGUAAACACGACAUCAGAGAGCGUUCGUGUGCAAUUUUACCUCGGAAACUCGUAUUUACGAUAAUUCCGAGAGCACGUGAAGGCUUCACCAGCUAAUUGCUCUUCUACAGGGACGCCAUAGAAACAAACAGAGCUAACGGAAGUUCAAAGACAAAAUUCAAAUGUGGCUACAAGCUAGUUUUUCUGGCGAAUAAGAAAUCGCUGUUUAAGGACUACAACAAAUGGCUGGUAGGGACUACAACGAGCUUCUUCCCAGGCUGUGAAUUUAAUGCACUCUAGCCAGAGGGCAACUUUGUCCAUCACAGACAUUUCUUUACAUCGCACCUGGUUCCAACUCACCAGCUAAUCUGAACAUAAUUGUCAACUUUCUUCAGGCCACGCAUGACUUCCUCCCUAAAACAAUCCAUCCACACGUGCCAUCUCUCCACCUCCACCUGUUUCAGCUCAGCUCACUCCAUCAGCACUUCUCUUUACACAAGAUUGAUGGAUACACGGCUUGGUCUCCACAGGGGUCAAUGGACAAAUAGUGGCUUUCAUCUCAACAAUCCUAUCCGUUGCUAAAUGCCUGUCAGAAGCUGUUUGGUGUCCUGCAGCGUAGAGUUGAGAAGAUGCUUCAUUACCCGCUAUAGAUCGAGCUGCUGGACAACAACAGUCUGGGGAGAAACCGGGACCUCUCUACCUGUCUUGUAAAUUGAGAGACUGUGUAUCUUGACCUGACUGAAAGGUUGAAGAAAUCUCUCCAGACACAUACGCACCUGUCACCAGUGGACCGCUGAGCGAGAAGACUACGGUCCAGAAGGAAUCAUGUUCGGUUUGUUGCGUUCUCUGGCAUCACCUGAAAUUAAACUCGACAUCUUACACACAAGUAACCCAAGACGUUUACCUGACCUUCAACCCCAGAACAAAUCCAUCAAGCCUGUCUACUGCUUAGAUCCAAUAUUUCGAUACACCAAAAGACAUGCAAAAUUUAAAGUGCCAUUCGAGGUUGACUGUGGAGAAAAUGUAACUGACAGAUGCUUGAGAAAAGUUGAAAGCUUUGAGAAGAUGCUAAUUGUUAACAUGACAACUGUAAUCAUUUAUUAACCUUUGUGGUGAAUUUUUAAAUGGUAAGAUAAAAUUUCAAUAUUUAACACAUUUUAACCCAUAUAAUCAAUACAUGGGUUGAGAAAUGGUCUUCUGAGUGUGAUCUUCUAGUGUGUUUUCAUUAUCACGGUUGAGAUAUAUG